rnacentral:rRNA from 1 species
UACGUAGGGGGCUAGCGUUGUCCGGAAUCAUUGGGCGUAAAGAGCGCGUAGGCGGCCCGAUAAGUCCGCUGUGAAAGUCCAGGGCUCAACCCUGGAAUGCCAGUGGAUACUGUCGGGCUAGAGUACGGAAGAGGCGAGUGGAAUUCCUGGUGUAGCGGUGGAAUGCGCAGAUAUCAGGAGGAACACCAAUAGCGAAGGCAGCUCGCUGGGACGUUACUGACGCUGAGGCGCGAAAGCGUGGGGAGCAAACAGG